rnacentral:sRNA from 1 species
GCAAUGCAUCUCACAAUCUGACAAGAAUGUGCCCGUUCGAAACUCUGGUUCCUCUGGCAAGAAAGUCAAAGUCGGGGUAUAAUCGAAAACAUAAUACUCCCAUCUUAAAUUUUGCGAUUGCUGCAAGAAGGAUUUUCACCAUUUACUAUUAGCAGGGGAGAAUGAUCCAAUUGACAAAGGUGGCGAAGAAGACAAUCUCGAUUUAUAUUGUGAGUUCGGACUCUUCGGAGAAGGUAGUGCGUGCAAGAUUCCUAGCGCAUUUUGCAUUGGCAGCUACAUGAGCAAAAGAUCUGAGAAAGGAUGAUUGUCAAACCUGUCAGCAACUAAAUAAACAAAUAUUUAAAUAACAAGAAAAAAAAUGGAGAAGGAAAAGCGGGACCAAGAGGAAACCUCCGAGUGUGGACAUACCGAUGUGGCCGGAAACACCAACAAAGAUGCUAUAUCAAGGGAUACCCAUGCUGCCAGAAAUUGAUCGAGAAUCCCAAAGCUCUUGAAUAUGGGCUCAUUGACAGUCUGGCUUGAUUCAACGGUUGUUCUGUGCAUCAAGAAUGUGUUGCGACUAUUUCAUUAUCCCCUUCAGCUUAUUUAUCUGUCUCACCUUGAUUUACCAAUAACUUCCACCAGGUGAAGGCAUAAUGGUCAGCUUAGAAACGAGAAAAUCUCUGUUCCCCUCAAGGAAGCGGAACCAGUUGUCAACU